UACGGAGGGGCGAGUGUUGUUCGGAAUUACUGGGUCGUGAAAGGGCGCGCAGGCGGCCUGGCAAGUCGAGUGUGAAAUCCCUUGGCUUAACUGAGGAAUGGCGCUCGAAACUACCUCGCUGGAGGGCGGGAGAGGGAAGUGGAACUCUCGGUGUAGGGGUGAAAUCUGUAGAUAUCGAGAGGAACACCGGUGGCGAAGGCGCUUCCUGGCCCGUAACCUGACGCUGAGGCGCGAAAGCGUGGGAGCGAACGGG
rnacentral:rRNA from 1 species